UCAAAAUCUAGGUCACUAGGUCAAAUAAUUAAAAAAUCAUCAACAAUUUGUUUGUGUAGACAGUAGAGGUCACAGUUUUCAUCCAAUGUUUAUGAAAUUUGGUCAGAAUGUUUAUUUUGAUGAAAUCUGGGUUGGGAUUGUAUUUGGGUCAUCUGGGGUCAAAAACUAGGUCACUAGGUCAAAUAAUUCAAAAAUCAUCAACAAUUUGUUUGUGUAGACAGUAGAGGUCACAGUUUUCAUCCAAUGUUUAUGAAAUUUGGUCAGAAUGUUUAUUUUGAUGAAAUCUGGGUUGGGAUUGUAUUUGGGUCAUCUGGGGUCAAAAACUAGGUCACUAGGUCAAAUAAUUCAAAAAUCAUCAACAAUUUGUUUGUGUAGACAGUAGAGGUCACAGUUUUCAUCCAAUGUUUAUGAAAUUUGGUCAGAAUGUUUAUUUUGAUGAAAUCUGGGUUGGGAUUGUAUUUGGGUCAUCUGGGGUCAAAAACUAGGUCACUAGGUCAAACACUAGGUCAAAUAAUAAAAAAAACCUUGUGUAGACAAUAGAGGAUGCAGUUUUCAUCCAAUCUUUAUGAAAUUUGGUCAGAAUGUUUAUCUUGAUGAAAUCUGGGUUGGGAUUGUAUUUGGUUCAUCUUGGGUCAAAAACUAGGUCACUAGGUCAAAUAACAGAAAAACCUUGUGUAGACAAUAGAGGUCACAGUUUUCAUCCAAUUUUCAUCAAAUUUUGUCAGAAUGUUUGUCUUGAUGAAAUCUGGGUUGGGAUUGUAUUUGGGUCACCUGGGGUCAAAAACUAGGUCAAUAGGUCAAAUAUUAGAAAAACCGUGUGUAGACAAUAGAGGUCACAGUUUUCAUCCAAGCUUUAUGAAAUUUUGGUCAGAAUGUUUAUCUUGAUGAAAACUGGGUUGGGAUUGUAUUUGGUUAGUCAGGUGAGCGAUUCAGGGCCAUCAUGGCCCUCUUGUUUAUAUUUAUCUCACUCUACAGGCCACAAUUUUCAUCAAAUCUUCAUAUAAUGUGAUAAGAAUAUUUAAAGGGACAAUAUAAAAGCUUUGUCAAAGGCAUCCAAAGACGAUGUCACCAUAUCAAAGCUUAGAUCAACCUUGUGACCUAGCUGGGCCACGCUAGAGGCUUGAUUUAGUGCUCAAUCUUGAUGAUACUUGAGUAGAAUUUGUAUCUUGACUAAAUGUAGACCGAUUUCAAGUCUGGUCCAUUGAAUAAAACACAAAGUCUCCAGGUAAAAUUUCAGAAAAACCUAGUUACCACUCUAGGAACAACAUUUGUGAAUACAUCUUUAUGAAACUUGUUUUGAAGUUUAAUAUCUUUGCUACUCAACCACAUUGUUGCUUAAAAGCCAAAAUUGCUGCAAUUGUUGUUGACCAAAUCCAUCUGGAACUAUUAAUCUAUUGCUAAUACUGUUUUAUUUGUUUG